GACAGCUGGGAAGUCGGGAUUGAAUGAGCUCCGACUGGGGAAAUAUGUUAUGAACAGUCGUCCAACUCAGAACUGUAAAUUCGGACUCUUUCUAGAGCUUCAACCACAAGCUCAAUGACAUCAUCAUGAUUCUACCUUGUUUUUUUCAGAGUUCCCAGUUGUUUUGAAAGCACCAUAAAUCCAGAGAAUGCCAGACUUUGGAUGACAAAAUUUGCCCACGAAGGACCGUCCUGCCCCCUUCCUGUUCAAGUGGGCACAGCACAAGAGGUUCACGGAGUUCACCUGAAAACCAAGAGGAUGAGUCAGGAAAGGCUAAGACCAUGUUGGCUACCAAGCACUCGGUGGCCACACUGGACCUCUCAUCAGCACAGGAAUAAUUCAGCCUGAAAAACCCUAAUGACUAAAGCUAAUGAUGAUGACCUAUAGUAGCCUACUUGCAAUUAAACCGGUACACACCCUAAGGUCAACACAAUGUCAAAAUAGGAAAUUAUGUAUUAAUUUAAUCAACUUGUCAAUUCUCUGCACCACGGCUUCUAUUUGUAAAGCAGGUAAACUUCAGCGGCAUCAAGCGUCAGAGAAGUGCUGUCCUAGAGACCCCUUUGUUAAUGAUCUUUGCUGUGGUCACUGACGAACGGAGCUUUAAGAAUCUCAGGGUGUUUCAAUGAAUCUCAGGGUGUUUUAAUGAAUCUCAUUUGGACUUGGGAGGAGAUACUGGAUGGAGAAGGACCCUGGAUGCAGCCGGGGUAAUAUCGCCGCCCCAAGGCAGAGCUGGAGGCAGCCAAAGCGGAGAGGCGGCGGUUUGAAGAAGCAGCACGGCAGCACGGCUGGAAGCCCGAGAGGCAGCCCGUUACCAUUUGCACACGGAGAGUGUGGCAAAGCCAGGUAGGAGACCUGCGCCAACUCCCUGUGGUUACUGUGGAGAGAGAGGGCUUCGUACUGGUAAGGCACCAUGUUAUGCGGUUGAGCGCACGGUGUCCCCAGUAUGCGUGCUUAGCCCGGUGCGCUACAUCCCAGCUCUCCGCACUGU